GUAGGGUGCGAGCGUUAAUCGGAAUUACUGGGCGUAAAGCGUGCGCAGGCGGUUUUGUAAGACAGAGGUGAAAUCCCCGGGCUCAACCUGGGAACUGCCUUUGUGACUGCAAGGCUAGAGUGCGGCAGAGGGGGAUGGAAUUCCGCGUGUAGCAGUGAAAUGCGUAGAUAUGCGGAGGAACACCGAUGGCGAAGGCAAUCCCCUGGGCCUGCACUGACGCUCAUGCACGAAAGCGUGGGGAGCAAAC
rnacentral:rRNA from 1 species